CCGUCAAUACCAGGACAGAAGCAUUCUCUCUUUUUUUUUUUUUAAUUUAACUUGUGAAAAAAAAUACAAACUCUCACUGAGGACAAUAACAUAGUAAUACAAAUUAACAUAAAUAUAAUAAAGUAAAAAAAAUCAUGGGGAUAUGGAUGGCAUGAACAAAAAAAUACAUUCAAAUACAAUACACUGUAAAUAAUCAGGCAAUUUAAAUUAAAGGAGCUGAGAUGUAACAUAGAAGAAUUUUUUUGAAAUUAAAGUAAGUAAUGAUCAAUGUUCUGGUUUAUUUUGAUUGCAAUUUUGUUUUUUUUUUCCAAUUUUCUUAGGGCCAAGACAAAAAUUUUAAAUUAGUUUAUAAAACCAGAAAAGGAGAGCUUAUUAUUUUUCAAUUUUACACAGUGGAUAUGAUAUUUUCCUAAUAAUAAAAUUAUAUUAAUAAUAUCUGAAAUAGAUGAGGCCAAAUUAUCAAUAUAAAAAAUAAUGAUAUAAUUCAAAAAAUGGAAUAUCAUUCAUUUUUAGUGAAAUCCAAUUUUUUUUAUGUCUGACCAAAAACCGUGUGAUGCAGGACAUAAGAAAAAUAAAUGUUCUAAAGUUUCAUCACUGUUAUUGCAGAAGGAGCACUGAUCCACCUCAAACUUAAACCUUUUCUUAAGGAACUCUGCUACAGGAUAAAUCCUGUUUAUGAUUUUAAAAUGAGUUUCUUUUACCUUUGGCAAGAUUGGCCAUUUCAUAAAUUUACAGUGUGCUUUGUUCAAUGUACCAGAUGUUAGUGAGGUGGGUCUGUGCCAUCUGAUCUCUGCAAUAAUCAUGAUACAACCUUGACUUCAAAAUAAUACUAAUGAAUCUAUUGUUACAUUUUCUUUCAAACAGAUUAGAUUCACCAAUCAAUAUUUUUGGUAAUGUUGGUAUAAAUGUAUUAUAAUUUAAGAAGUUUUGAAUCAGAUGGAUUAAAGGUAAAGGAAUCACUUUACACAUUUUGGUAUAUUCACUCAUAGAACAAUCUAUAUUGUAUUUUUCCACAAAAUCUGCAUAUCUUAGAAGGUUACCAUCACAAUCCAUUACAUCUGUAACAAAUAUAACAAUCUUUUGGUACCAAUCAUUUAUAAUAUUGAUUUCCUAUUCAAUGUAAUUACUUGAUUAUUCCAUAAAAUUGAAUUAUGAGGAGAAAAAUUGUGGGUAAAUAUCAUUUUCCAAAACUGCAGAGUCUGUUUAUGAAAAUUGGACAUCUUGAUCGGGAUCCUGUUCACAUCAAAAUCACAUUUCAAAACAAAAUCUAAACCUCCCAUUUUCUUAAACAAAGAUCUUGGAAUGUGGAACCACAUGGAGUUUGGCUGUAAUAAACAGGCUUUAAAACAGUUAAUUCUAAAUGUGCCAACCAUAGAUUCAAAAUCUGGGGCUUUAACACCACCUUUGUCAUAGUCCUUUACAAGCUGAGAUCUUUUUAUGUAGUGGGUUUUAUUUCUCUAGAAACUGGAAAAUAAUUGUGUUUGUUUUACGAAUAUUUUUAGAAGAGAUGAAUAAGGAGUGGCAAGGAUAAAUUAGUUUAGAAAUACCUUCAGCUUUAGAUAAAGUAAUUCUACCAAAGACUAAAAGGUCUCUGAUUAACCAGUGACUUAAUGUUUUUUUCAUAUCUAACAUACGGUUUGAGAUAUUAGUGUCUUCUCUUUUAAUAAAAUGUUUUGAUAAUGUUAUUCCUAAAUAUUUAACUCCAGAUACCACUUUAAUUAAGGAACUAUAAGAGUCACAGCUUGAAUGAAUGGGGAGUAGUUAACAUUUAUUAAUAUUAAGAGAUAAUCCUGAUGCUUUAGAAAAGACGGAGAUAGUGUUUAAAGUUUUAUCCACCAUUGAUUUGUCUUUUAAAAAGAUACAGGUAUUGUCUGCGAAUUGACUUAAAUUCCUUAUUGAAAAUAGUAAUUCCGUGUAUAUCCUUGGAAUUAUCAAUAAGCAGUGUUAAUAAUUGUGUUGCCAAAAUAAAAAGUUUCGGGGAGAUAGGGCAUCCCUGUCUAAUACCACGUAACACUUUAAAUCCAGGAGUUAAUCCUGGGUUCAGAGACACAGUGCUACUAAUGUCUGUGUAUAACAUUUGAACCAAUUUACAAAAAUUUACCCCAAAACCCAAAAAUUGUAAUGUUUUUAACAUAAAGGUGUGUUCCAUGGUAUCAAAGGCCUUGAAAAAGUCUAAAAAUAACACAUAACUGUCUGUUUUGAUAUACUCCCUGUAAUCUAAUAAAUUAAGGAUCAAUCUAGUAUGGUUAUGUAUGUUCCGACCUUUAACAAAGGCUGAUUGAUUUUCAUUAACUACUUUUGAUAGACCAAAAUCCAAUUUAUUUGAAUAAACAUGAGCUAACAGCUUGUAGUCAUUACAUAAUAGUGUUAUCGGUCUCCAAUUAUCAAGCAACAGUUUGUCCUUGUUGGGUUUUGGGAUUAGUGUGAUAACACCCCGUUUCAUAGUAGGUGACAGGUGUCCAGUUGAAAGACAUUCCUGGAAGGUAUGAAAAAGAAGUUCUCUAAUAUCAAUCCAAAAGUGAAUGUAAAACUCCACAGUCAGACCGUCAAGCCUUGGUGAUUUUCCUUUUGACAUUCAACUGAUUGCUAUAUCUAAUUCUUCAAUUCUAAGCUCGUCCUCCAUUUCUUGCUUAAAAUUUUCAUCAAUUAGUUUGUUAUAUUCAUGAAUUUUGUUGAAACAUAUUUGACAUUCAUCUUCUGAAAAUUGGGAUUUAUAUAAUUUGCUAUAAAAGUGCUUUAUUUCCACAUUGAUUUCGUCUUGGUUUUCAAUACUAAUAUUGUUAAUAAGCAAUUUAUUGAUUUUCUUUUUUUGUCUUUGUUUUUCCAGACUGAAGAAAUAUGAAGUAUUUUUUCACCUUCCUCCAACCAUCUAGCUUUUGAACGAAUGAAUGCUCCUUUUGCUUUUUCCAGAUAAAGAUUGUCUAGUUGGCUUUGCAGAUCAUUUAAUUUGAUUUGUUCUUCUAAUGUUAAAUUUGUCUUUUGACAUAACAUGUUUAUACCGUUGAUAAUGCCUUGUUUGGGUUUUUUUUUUUUAGCUUUGGAGAUGUUUUUACUUGUUCAGAUGGCAAUAUCUCUAAUUUUAAAUUUGAACCACUCCCAUUUACCCACAGGUGACAUUUCUAAAUUAUCGAUUUCUUUUAACAAAUUUUUGGUUUUAUUACAAAACUCCUCAUGUUCUAAAAGACUGCUAUUAAAUUUCCAUAAAGGGUUACAGACAGGCUUAAACCCAUUUAGCUGAAAGGAUACUGAGACUGCACAGUGGUCAGUUAGGGGUGAUGCUGAAAUUUCACAAUUUACAACUUCCUUAACAAGGUUGGUAGAGAUCAGCCAAAAGUCUAAUCUUGAGCAUUGUCCAUUGUUAGCAGAAUUGUACCAAGUAAACUGCUUAGCAUUUGUAUUUCUUGAUCUCCAACAGUCAAUUUAGUUUCCCUUAGGAAUAAAAUCAUGAAGAAUUUCCUCAUAGUUGUGGCUUUGUCCUCUUGAAGGAAGGUGAUCCAUCCAUAAGUCAGGGACCAAAUUAAAAUCUCCUCCAACAAUGACUUUGUCAGUAUUAUGAGUCACUUUCCAUUCCUCCAACAGUCUGCUCAAGGAAGAAUAACAGGAUUUGUUCUGUGCUCUAUUAUUAUAUCCAUAAGCACAUAACAGAAUAUAGUUGGCAUCAUUCAACUGUCACUAUUAGCCAAUGUCCAUUAAUGUCACCAGUGUGGUUAACUACGUUCCUGGAAAAUCUAUUGAGCUGGAUCAUUACUCCAGCUGAGUGUGAUGUCCCAUGGCUGUAGGAAACAUUGUCCCCCCCCAUUGUUGUUUCCAGAAGUUAACGUCAAUGAGUCUCUUGCAAAAAAAAAAAAAAAAAAAAAAAAAAAAAGUGUUCGUCUGCUCCUCACAAAAAAGAAAUGUUGUCUUGCGUUUCGUUUGAUUUUUUAAUCCCCUGGUAUUAAAAAAAAAAAAAAAAAAAAAAAAAAAAAAAAGAUGAUAACAUUCACCGUAUAAGCUUAACGGGUGUGCGCGAAGAAGGUGAUGCGCAGGAAUGAGUAGCUCCUGUGUCCAUAACAAAAUCUAACAUUAACAUUUAUUGCAGCAACCCCCUAAAAAUACCUGAACGUUAAUAGAGGCACUGAAAAAAGGUUAAUCCAUUUUGGAGCCAGAUAUACCUUGAAAUAAAUUGCUCACUCAGGCUCCACACAGCGGUUGUCAAUCAAAGCAUAUCCUUCUUUUAGGAACGCUCGUCUCCCCCUCUUCCUGGACCAAUGGCUAUAACUUAGCUCGAACCUCCCUGUCUUCUUUGGAAAAAUCCUCCUGGAAUCGAAUAUGUUUCUCUCUGCGCACUGGCACAUCCUUUGAUUUUUUCCACACUUCAUCCCUUAGGGUUCUCAUCCCGAACUGAAUUCAAAUUGCCUUCGGCGUAUUGUUUGAGGUGGCAGCGGUGUUUCUCUUACCCAGACGGUGGACACUGUCAACUGUGUCUCCACAGACAGCGGCACAACUCUGUACCUGCAAUAUUGCUGCCUCUCACGCUGCCAUCUUGGAUCCUUCUCGAGACAGAAGCAUUCACGUUCACAUCACAACCCUGCGAUGAACUGGCGACUUGUCCAGGGUGUACCCCGCCUUCGCCCC